AAUUGUUAAUAUAGAUAAUACUCAGAAAUCAGGAAAUAUACGGCUACCAGAUAUUGAUGACUGCAAUAAGCCUACAAAAUAUCAGGACAAUCCAUCAAAGCGUGUUGGAGAUAAUUUGUACACAAGAUUUUGUGACAUACACACAUACAAUAGGAAAUGCAAACGCUCAGAAUAUACAAUUCAACACUUUUUUAAAUAUUAUUAUAAUAAUAAAUAAAUUACCAUAAGUCCUA